AGCGAACGCUGGCGGCAGGCUUAACACAUGCAAGUCGAACGCGUGUAGCAAUACACGAGUGGCGCACGGGUGAGUAACGCGUGGAUAUCUGCCUUUUGGUUCGGAAUAACCCCGGGAAACUGGGGCUAAUACCGGAUGGUUCCUUCGGGAUAAAGAUUUAUCGCCAAAAGAUGAGUCCGCGUACGAUUAGCUAGUUGGUGAGGUAAUGGCUCACCAAGGCGACGAUCGUUAGCUGGUCUGAGAGGACGAUCAGCCACACUGGGACUGAGACACGGCCCAGACUCCUACGGGAGGCAGCAGUGGGGAAUAUUGGACAAUGGGGGCAACCCUGAUCCAGCCAUGCCGCGUGAGUGAUGAAGGCCUUCGGGUUGUAAAGCUCUUUUGGCGGGGACGAUGACGACGGUACCCGCAGAAUAAGCCCCGGCUAACUUCGUGCCAGCAGCCGCCGUAACAC
rnacentral:rRNA from 1 species